AUCUUGCAAACCGAACACCCCUAAGAGAAUGGAAACUGAUUAUACAAAUUAAUGAAUUCAUGGUGGACACCCGAGAUCCUAUGGUGAGAAGGGGCCAGAAAAUGCCGAGACAACGGACACUGUAUCCUCUCUGAGAUGGGAAGAUUUUCUGUUUAGAGGGCUCUCACUUCCAAAGCCUCCGUUUAUGCUUCUAUCAGAAAGACGCCGACUGCUAGUGCCUGGCCUUGUUCCAAAUGGGCUGUCGGGCUCAGUUUUCCAUCCUCUGGAGUCUGUCGCUCUUUUGAUAGGAAUACAAGCAUCCAAGAAAACAAAUAAAAGUGAUUGGUUUCUCAAUUUAUUUUUAAGCCCCUAACGACAUAUUUUCACUAUAGUACCUUCUCACUCUGAAGUCUCUGAAGCUCAUUUUGGAACUCCUCAAGUUUCUUAAGUGAAAGAUCAUUCUCGUUGACACAAACAGUGAUCUUUCUCCAAGUGAGAGGAGGAGAUGAGUAAACUCAGCCUCGGACUCUGCAAGCUGCUGAUGUAGUCGAGCUCGUGAAAUGUUAGCUCUGUCAACUUUUCUUCUAUAAAUCUCGAGGCACUCCUGCUCAAGAUCCAGCAGAAACUUUUCCCGCUCAAAUUUGUCUUCUCCGACUUCAUCCCAUAUGAUCUGCAAGCGAAAGGCUCAUGUUACAACAAUCUGACUGAUCACAUUGCGAUAAGUUAAAAAUACGUAAAGACAUGCCUGUAAUUCUUGUAGCAAGUAGCCACACGACGUCUCCAGCAAUGCUAAACUUCCCAUCCCACCAUUUGAUUUCUGUAAGGAUCCCAUCAGUAGAAUCCUUUCUGAUGAGACGAUGAAAGACUAGAGAUUUAGCAGUCGUUUCCUAGAAGCGACUAGUAUUGUUUUGUACCACAGGAGCAGUUUUAAAAACUAGAGAGAUGGAGGGACCAUAGUGAGGUGGGACUUUGGUUUUGGGAGUGAAUAUUUGCUUGAAAGAUAAGGUUUCACUGGUGGGUGACAGUGGAACUUUAGGUUCAAGGAUUCUUUGUUGCUUUUGAUCUUUGAGGACUUGAUUCUCAAGCAAAGCUCUCUGGAAAAAAGGGGAAAAGAAAUGUGUCUAUGUUAUGACAAAUAGGGCAAUUGUGUAAUCGACAAACGAAAGAACGUAAAGAGACACAGAAUUUACGUGGUUCACCAACGUUGUGUUGGCUACAUCCACGGGCAAGAACGGAGAACAAAUUGUAUUAUGACUGCGGUUACAGAUACCAAGUUUUGUGCCUUCUAUACAAAUAGGUACAUCCACGGACCCCCAUUUGGCUAGCGGCAAAUAGUAAUGAUUCAAGGCAUCCUAACCGUCUAUUAUCUACAUUUUGUAUGAUUAAAGAAAAAAAAAAGAAAGAAUAUUUGGGCAGACAUUCAAGAUGAGUGAUGCCUUAUCCAAAAAAGGACAUUUUACCUUGACUAUUUAUGGGUUUUUAUCAGAAACAAAA